rnacentral:rRNA from 1 species
UACAGAGACUCCAAGCGUUAUUCGGAUUCACUGGGCGUAAAGGGAGCGCAGGCGGCCAUGUAUGUCGGAGGUGAAAUCUUGCAGCUCAACUGUAAAAUUGCCUUCGAAACUACAUGGCUAGAGUAUCGGAGAGGUAAGCGGAAUUCCAGGUGUAGCAGUGAAAUGCGUAGAUAUCUGGAGGAACACCGAAAGCGAAGGCAGCUUACUGGACGAUUACUGACGCUCAGGCUCGAAAGCAUGGGUAGCGAAAGGG